ACCCGCUGAACUUAAGCAUAUCAAUAAGCGGAGGAAAAGAAACCAACAGGGAUUGCCCUAGUAACGGCGAGUGAAGCGGCAACAGCUCAAAUUUGAAAUCUGGCUCUUUUAGAGUCCGAGUUGUAAUUUGCAGAGGGCGCUUUGGCUUUGGCAGCGGUCCAAGUUCCUUGGAACAGGACGUCACAGAGGGUGAGAAUCCCGUACGUGGUCGCUGGCUAUUGCCGUGUAAAGCCCCUUCGACGAGUCGAGUUGUUUGGGAAUGCAGCUCUAAAUGGGAGGUACAUUUCUUCUAAAGCUAAAUAUUGGCCAGAGACCGAUAGCGCACAAGUAGAGUGAUCGAAAGAUGAAAAGCACUUUGGAAAGAGAGUCAAACAGCACGUGAAAUUGUUGAAAGGGAAGCGCUUGCAGCCAGACUUGCUUACAGUUGCUCAUCCGGGCUUUUGCCCGGUGCACCCUUCUGUAGGCAGACCAGCAUCAGUUUGGGCGGUAGGAUAAAGGUCUCUGUCACGUACCUCUCUUCGGGGAGGCCUUAUAGGGGAGACGACAUACUACCAGCCUGGACUGAGGUCCGCGCAUCUGCUAGGAUGCUGGCGUAAUGGCUGU
rnacentral:rRNA from 1 species